AUGCGCCAAGUUUAUUCAGGUCAUUCUGGAUCAUGUGGCACGCGCUCUUUUACUUUUCGGGUGACUGCCACACAGAUCUCCAAGCAUCCCUGGAGAAGACUGGUGCCACCGCCUCCACGAACCUGCACGCACGCAUUGUGUGUCUUAAAUUUUUUUUUAGAAAACUUUUCAAUCUAUUCAUCAUCAAUCAUGAUAGUACAACGAAUAACAGAAAUAAUAAAAGUUACAUUCAGAUCCGUAGACCACCUAGCAACGACUACAAACACUGAAGUGAGUCGAAAGCGCGCCGUCGUCAUCGUCUCUCCCUUCCUGAAGCCGGGCAAAACUUGUUGUGUUAGAUAG
rnacentral:rRNA from 1 species